AUGAUCAGGCGCAUGGUAAUAGAUAGGGUCUCUCUACAAGAGCCUUGGUCAACCCAGCCAGUCAACAGAUAUAAAGGCCAUGGGACGACCACGUGCUAGCCAAAGCCAAGAUGAGAAAUAGGUAAAAUUAAGUGGCUACUCACGUGUUUGAAAUCAUUUCCCAAUUUCAUUCUCUCUCCACUAUGACCUUUUCUCUCUCUGCUCACCGUGCAAAAAUAACUUAAACCAAAUUUCUCACCACCCACAUAGAUCAAACAUGGCCAUCCACCAAGAAUAACUCAUGAACACCGUGAAGGUGUUCAUAAGCGAAACCCAGAAAUCCCCAAAGUCGUUCUAAACCUUAAAGUCAUGAACACAACCCUAGCCUAAAGCGUUAUUUUGACCAUGAAUCUGCUAACAAAACAAUCAAAAAGGCAACCCUGAGCCAGGAUCAGGCUCAUCCCCAUUCAAACCCUAAAAUUCAAAUUCAACAUUAACAUUCCAAUUUACAUGAAGCUUCUAUAAAUUUAAGUUCAACCGAAGGAAAAGCAACAACAAUAAACGCGUAAAGUGAAGAAAAUAGAUAUUAGAGCCUCGUCAGAGCUUGAAACUCUGACGAGAAAACUUAGACGUGGCCAACCUCAGACUGGUGGUAUGCCCUGGUUGCUACAAAAAACUUGUGCUUCCUUAUUAUUCCAUUUCAACCUCUUUCUCCUUUUUUUACUUUGUCUUGUUCUGUAUGUUAUGCACAAUGGUGUGAAGUGUGAUAUGGCAUGGUUGUGCUUCGAUGCCAUGAGAUUAUGGAGAUGGUUGUUAUCAUGUAUGGACGGAUAGAAAAAAUCAUGUAAUGUGAUGUAAAGGUGUGUGUAUGCUGAUGAUUCAUGUUUUUUAAUAUAACAACCAUCUUAUUUCAA